UACGUAGGCGGAAAAAUAAGUCAGUGGUGAAAUCCUGCAGCUCAACUGUAGAACUGCCAUUGAAACUAUUUUUCUUGAGUAUAGUUGAGGUGGGCGGAAUGUGUCAUGUAGCGGUGAAAUGCUUAGAUAUGACACAGAACACCGAUUGCGUAGGCAGCUCACUAAACUAUUACUGACGCUGAGGUACGAAAGCGUGGGGAGCGAACAGGAUUAGAUACCCUGGUAGUCC
rnacentral:rRNA from 1 species